CCUGGUGCCUAUGGCUUAGUGGAACCACUCCGAUCCAUCCCGAACUCGGCUGUGAAACACUAAUGCGGCGAAGAUACUCUGGGGGUAGCCCCUUGGGAAAAUAGCUCGGUGCCAGGU
rnacentral:rRNA from 1 species